AGGACUAACGCUGGCGGCGUGCCUAACACAUGCAAGUCGAACGAGGUAGCAAUACCUAGUGGCAGACGGGUGAGUAACGCGUGGUCAACCUACCUCUUAGUGGGGGAUAACUAGCCGAAAGGUUAGCUAAUACCGCAUACGAUCGUCGCGAGGCAUCUCGUGACGAUGAAAGGAGCAAUUCGCUAAGAGAGGGGACUGCGUCCCAUUAGUUAGUUGGUGGGGUAAUGGCCCACCAAGACUCCGAUGGGUAGCUGGCUUGAGAGAGCGACCAGCCACACUGGAACUGAGACACGGUCCAGACUCCUACGGGAGGCAGCAGUGAGGAAUUUUCCGCAAUGGGCGCAAGCCUGACGGAGCGACGCCGCGUGUGGGAAGAAGGCCUUGGGUCGUAAACCACUGUCGAAGGGGACGAUAUUGACGGUACCCUUGGAGGAAGCCCCGGCUAACUACGUGCCAGCAGCCGC
rnacentral:rRNA from 1 species